AUGACCCUCAGAACCCCUCUGAGAUACUCCUGGAAGUCCCUAAAGGUGUCCCACCCUGGAGGGUCCAUGGACCUCAUCUGGAAGGGCUCCGGCUGCACCUUCAGCAGCUUCACGAUGUAUUGGGUCCGUCAGGAGCCCCAGAAGGGCCUCCAGUGGGUCGCGGGGAUCCACAGCAAUGGUGGUUCCACCUACUACGCGCCGUCGGUCAAGGGGCGCUUCACCAUCUCCAGGGACAACGGCCAGAGCACGGUGACGCUGCGGAUGACCAACCUGAAGGCCGAGGACACGGCCACCUACUACUGCGCCAAAGACGCUUAUGGUGGUGGUGAUUAUGGUUAUGGUGGUGCUGGUGGUGAUGUUGUCCCACCAGGACACUCUGGAGCCCCCCAGGACCCAUCUGGGGCCCUCAGGACCUCCUGGAGAACCUCCUGGGACUCCUCAAGGACCCCCAGGAGACCUCUGGAGCCCUUCAGGACCCCUUUAG